GCAGCAAGCAAAGUUUUGAAGCUGCUUCGAAUUUGCUGAAACUAAGAAGUAGAAAGACUGUUUACAUUUCACCUCUGGACAAAGAAUGAUUGAUUACAUCUACACAAUAAUAAUAAGGAAAAAAGCUUGUGUCAGCUGUCUUCUCUGAGCAGCGGUCUUGUGAUCACCGGUCUCAGUAUAAUAAAGGUGUCUGAUGUUGAUGCAGUCUGGGCACUAGUAUCUGUUGGCUUGCUGACUAUCACUGACGAUGAAGUACUUCUCCAAAUCUUGACCCUGUGUCUUCUGCCAUCAUUGUUCAGGGUAGUACUGCAUAGAACAGUCUCC